CCUACGGGCGGCAGCAGUGGGGAAUAUUGGACAAUGGGGGGAACCCUGAUCCAGCCAUGCCGCGUGUGUGAAGAAGGCCCUCGGGUUGUAAAGCACUUUCAGUGAGGAAGAACGCCUGGUGGUUAAUACCCAUCAGGAAAGACAUCACUCACAGAAGAAGCACCGGCUAACUCCGUGCCAGCAGCCGCGGUAAUACGGAGGGUGCGAGCGUUAAUCGGAAUUACUGGGCGUAAAGCGCGCGUAGGUGGCUUGAUAAGCCGGUUGUGAAAGCCCCGGGCUCAACCUGGGAACGGCAUCCGGAACUGUCAAGCUAGAGUGCAGGAGAGGAAGGUAGAAUUCCCGGUGUAGCGGUGAAAUGCGUAGAGAUCGGGGGAAUACCAGUGGCGAAGGCGGCCUUCUGGACUGACACUGACACUGAGGUGCGAAAGCGUGGGUAGCAAACAGGAUUAGAUACCCCGGUAGUC
rnacentral:rRNA from 1 species